GACGAACGCUGGCGGCGUGCUUAACACAUGCAAGUCGAACGAUGAAGCGCCUUCCUUUUUGGUGGGUGUGGAGGAGUGGCGGACGGGUGAGUAACACGUGAGUAACCUGCCCCCUUCUUCUGGAUAACCGCAUGAAAGUGUGGCUAAUACGGGUUAUUCUGGGUCUGUCGCAUGAUGGGUCUGGGAAAGAUGUUGGUUCGGUGGGGGAUGGGCUCGCGGCCUGUCAGGUUGUUGGUGGGGUGAGAGCCUACCCAGGCGGUGACGGGUAGCCGGCCUGGGAGGGUGGACGGGCACACUGGGACGGAGGCACGGCCCCGAUUCCUACGGGAGGCAGCAGUGGCGAAUAUGGGACGAUGGGCGGAAGACUGAUGCAGCGACGCGGAGUGAGGGAUGGAGGCCUUCGGGUUGUGAACCGCUUUCGCCAGUGAAGCAGGCCUGCCUCAUUUGUGGGUGGGUUGACGGUAGCUGGAUAAGAAGCGCCGGCUAACUACGUG
rnacentral:rRNA from 1 species